rnacentral:rRNA from 1 species
CAUUCACGGAGAGUUUGAUCCUGGCUCAGGACGAACGCUGGCGGCGUGCUUAACACAUGCAAGUCGAACGAUGAAGCCGCUUCGGUGGUGGAUUAGUGGCGAACGGGUGAGUAACACGUGGGCAAUCUGCCCUGCACUCUGGGACAAGCCCUGGAAACGGGGUCUAAUACCGGAUAUGACACGGGAUCGCAUGGUCUCCGUGUGGAAAGCUCCGGCGGUGCAGGAUGAGCCCGCGGCCUAUCAGCUUGUUGGUGGGGUGAUGGCCUACCAAGGCGACGACGGGUAGCCGGCCUGA